rnacentral:rRNA from 1 species
CAGGAUGAACGCUAGCGACAGGCUAACACAUGCAAGUCGAGGGGCAGCACGGGAGUAGCAAUACAACUGGUGGCGACCGGCGCACGGGUGAGUAACGCGUAUGCAACCUACCUAUCAGGAGGGGAAUAACCCGGCGAAAGUCGGACUAAUACCGCAUAAAACAGGGGCACCGCAUGGUGAUAUUUGUUAAAGAAAUUCGCUGAUAGAUGGGCAUGCGUUCCAUUAGGUAGUUGGUGAGGUAACGGCUCACCAAGCCGACGAUGGAUAGGGGAACUGAGAGGUUGGUCCCCCACACUGGUACUGAGACACGGACCAGACUCCUACGGGAGGCAGUAGUGAGGAAUAUUGGUCAAUGGGCGAGAGCCUGAACCAGCCAAGUCCGCGUGAAGGAAGAAGGAUCUAUGGUUCGUAAACUUCUUUUGCAGGGGAAUAAAGUGCGGGACGUGUCCUGUUUUGUAUGUACCCUGAGAAUAAGGAUCGGCUAACUCCGUGCCAGCCGCCGC